rnacentral:rRNA from 1 species
UAGGGAAUCUUCGUCAAUGGGGGCAACCCUGACCGAGCAACGCCGCGUGAGUGAAGAAGGUUUUCGGAUCGUAAAGCUCUGUUGUAAGUCAAGAACGGGUGUGAGAGUGGAAAGUUCACACUGUGACGGUAGCUUACCAGAAAGGGACGGCUAACUACGUGCCAGCAGCCGCGGUAAUACGUAGGUCCCGAGCGUUGUCCGGAUUUAUUGGGCGUAAAGCGAGCGCAGGCGGUUUGAUAAGUCUGAAGUUAAAGGCUGUGGCUCAACCAUAGUUCGCUUUGGAAACUGUCAAACUUGAGUGCAGAAGGGGAGAGUGGAAUUCCAUGUGUAGCGGUGAAAUGCGUAGAUAUAUGGAGGAACACCGGUGGCGAAAGCGGCUCUCUGGUCUGUAACUGACGCUGAGGCUCGAAAGCGUGGGGAGCGAACAGG